GCCUUGCUAGCUCAAUCGGUAGAGCGUGAGACCUUUAAUCUCAAGGUUGCGGGUUCGACCCCCGUGUGAGGCU
rnacentral:tRNA from 1 species